rnacentral:rRNA from 1 species
GACGAACGCUGGCGGCGUGCUUAACACAUGCAAGUCGAACGAAGUGGCGAACGGGUGAGUAACGCGUAAUCAACCUGCCCUUCAGAGGGGGACAACAGUUGGAAACGACUGCUAAUACCGCACAUCGGAGGGGGGGAUUGGGUCUGAUUAGCUAGGUGGAGGGGUAAUGGCCCAACAAGGUGAUGAAGAGUAGCCGGUCUGAGAGGAUGAACGGCCACCUUGGGACUGAGACAGGGCCCAGACUCCUACGGGAGGCAGCAGUGGGGAAUCUUCCGCGAUGGACGAAAGUCGGACGGAGCAACGCGGGGUGAGUGAUGACGGCCUUCGGGUUGUAAAGCUAUGUUACUCGGGACACGGUACCGGAAUAGAAAGCCACGGCUAACUACGUGCCAGCAGCCGCGGUAAUAC